rnacentral:rRNA from 1 species
AUGAUUACCCAAGAAUUGGAGGUGGGAAGGCCUAAUAGGUCUGGUUGUUUCUCUUUCAUCAGCGACGUAAAAAAUGAGCUGCAGGUUUUCAGCCCCGUCCUCAUCUACUCCAUCCCUAGGGGAAAAAACAAACUGGCACAUGAGCUGGCUGCUCGAGCGAGACGAGAUCGUUCAUCUUUGCUGAUGUAUCGAGGCAACUCUGCACUCUGA